GACGAACGCUGGCGGCGUGCCUAAUACAUGCAAGUAGAACGCUGAAGAGAGGAGCUUACUCUUCUUGGAUGAGUUGCGAACGGGUGAGUAACGCGUAGGUAACCUGCCUUGUAGCGGGGGAUAACUAUUGGAAACGAUAGCUAAUACCGCAUAACAAUGGAUGACACAUGUCAUUUAUUUGAAAGGGGCAAUUGCUCCACUACAAGAUGGACCUGCGUUGUAUUAGCUAGUAGGUGAGGUAAUGGCUCACCUAGGCGACGGUACAUAGCCGACCUGAGAGGGUGAUCGGCCACCCUGGGACUUAGACACGGCCCCGACUCCUUCGGGGGGCAGCAGUAGGGAAUCUUCGGCAAUGGGGGCAACCCUGACCGAGCAACGCCGCGUGAGUGAAGAAGGGUUUCGGAUCGUAAAGCUCUGUUGUAAGUCAAGAACGGGUGUGAGAGUGGAAAGUUCACACUGUGACGGUAGCUUACCAGAAAGGGACGGCUAACUACGUG
rnacentral:rRNA from 1 species